UACGGAGGGUGCGAGCGUUGUCCGGAAUCACUGGGCGUAAAGGGCGCGUAGGCGGCGCGGGAAGUCAUCGGUGAAAGUUCAGGGCUCAACUCUGAAUCGGCCGGUGAUACUCUCGUGCUCGAGCACUGUAGAGGCAGGUGGAAUUCCGGGUGUAGCGGUGGAAUGCGUAGAGAUCCGGAAGAACACCGGUGGCGAAGGCGGCAUCCUGGACCGGUAUUGACGCUGAGGCGCGAAAGCCAGGGGAGCAAACGGG
rnacentral:rRNA from 1 species